AAAUCCAAGAAUUUCACCUCUGACAAUUAAAUACUAAUGCCCCCAACUGUCCCUAUUAAUCAUUUCUGGUUCUAUAAACCAACAAAAUAGACCCAGACCUAUUCCAUUAUUCCAUGCUUGUAUAUUCAGGGCGAUAGCCUGCCUUGAACACUCUAGUUUUUUCAAAGUAAAGUGUCAGAUCUCCACAGCGACCAGUGAAGGCCCACUAUGGUUUUCUGACGGAUGGCCGCGCUUGCCUCGACAGAAGCCAAGGUCACUCGCGACCAGAAGUUCAACUACGAGCUUUUUAACUGCAACAACUUUAAUAUACGCUAUUGGAGCUGGAAUUA
rnacentral:misc_RNA from 1 species